ACUGUUCAGACAGACAGUAUUUAUUCCAGACUGUUCAGACAGACAGUAUUUAUUCCAGACUGUCCAGACAGACAGUAUUUAUUCCAGACUGUUCAGACAGACAGUAUUUAUUCCAGACUGUCCAGACAGACAGUAUUUAUUCCAGACUGUUCAGACAGACAGUAUUUAUUCCAGACUGUUCAGACAGACAGUAUUUAUUCCAGACUGUUCAGACAGACAGUAUUUAUACCAGACUGUUCAGACAGACAGUAUUUAUUCCAGACUGUCCAGACAGACAGUAUUUAUUCCAGACUGUUCAGACAGACAGUAUUUAUUCCAGACUGUUCAGACAGACAGUAUUUAUUCCAGACUGUCCAGACAGACAGUAUUUAUUCCAGACUGUUCAGACAGACAGUAUUUAUUCCAGACUGUUCAGACAGACAGUAUUUAUUCCAGACUGUUCAGACAGACAGUAUUUAUUCCAGACUUAAAUGACAAGGAGAACAGGUGCUGUCCUUAAAUGACAAGGAGAACAGGUGCUGUCCUUAAAUGACAAGGAGAACAGGUGCUGUCCUUAAAUGACAAGGAGAACAGGUGCUGUCCUUAAAUGACAAGGAGAACAGGUGCUGUCCUUAAAUGACAAGGAGAACAGGUGCUGUCCUUAAAUGACAAGGAGAACAGGUGCUGUCCUUAAAUGACAAGGAGAACAGGUGCUGUCCUUAAAUGACAAGGAGAACAGGUGCUGUCCUUAAAUGACAAGGAGAACAGGUGCUGUCCUUAAAUGACAAGGAGAACAGGUGCUGUCCUUAAAUGACAAGGAGAACAGGUGCUGUCCUUAAAUGACAAGGAGAACAGGUGCUGUCCUUAAAUGACAAGGAGAACAGGUGCUGUCCUUAAAUGACAAGGAGAACAGGUGCUGUCCUUAAAUGACAAGGAGAACAGGUGCUGUCCUUAAAUGACAAGGAGAACAGGUGCUGUCCUUAAAUGACAAGGAGAACAGGUGCUGUCCUUAAAUGACAAGGAGAACAGGUGCUGUCCUUAAAUGACAAGGAGAACAGGUGCUGUCCUUAAAUGACAAGGAGAACAGGUGCUGUCCUUAAAUGACAAGGAGAACAGGUGCUGUCCUUAAAUGACAAGGAGAACAGGUGCUGUCCUUAAAUGACAAGGAGAACAGGUGCUGUCCUUAAAUGACAAGGAGAACAGGUGCUGUCCUUAAAUGACAAGGAGAACAGGUGCUGUCCUUAAAUGACAAGGAGAA